rnacentral:rRNA from 1 species
AGAGUUUGAUCAUGGCUCAGGAUGAACGCUGGCGGCGUGCCUAACACAUGCAAGUCGAACGGGUGUGGUAUCAGGGAAAAGGGGUUUACUUCUUUGACCAGAUAACACACUAGUGGCGGACGGGUGAGUAACGCGUGGAUAACCUGCCUUAUACAGGGGGAUAACAGGGAGAAAUUCUUGCUAAUACCCCAUAGGUAUGUCUGACGCAUGUUGGACAUAUUAAAGCUUUGGCGGUAUAAGAUGGGUCCGCGUCUGAUUAGCUAGUUGGUGGGGUAAAGGCCCACCAAGGCGACGAUCAGUAGCCGGCUUGAGAGAGUGGACGGCCACAUUGGGACUGAGACACGGCCCAAACUCCUACGGGAGGCAGCAGUGGGGAAUAUUGCACAAUGGGGGAAACCCUGAUGCAGCGACGCCGCGUGAAGGAAGAAGGUCUUCGGAUCGUAAACUUCUAUCAGCAGGGAAGAAGGAAGUGACAGUACCUGAGUAAGAAGCCCCGGCUAACUACGUGCCAGCAGCCGCGGUAAUACGUAGGGGGCGAGCGUUAUCCGGAAUUACUGGGUGUAAAGGGUGCGUAGGCGGUAUGGCAAGUCAGUUGUGAAACCCCCUGGCUCAACCAGGGGCUUGCAAUUGAAACUGUCAUACUAGAGUGCAGGAGAGGAAAGCGGAAUUCCUAGUGUAGCGGUGAAAUGCGUAGAUAUUAGGAAGAACACCAGUGGCGAAGGCGGCUUUCUGGACUGUAACAGACGCUGAGGCACGAAAGCGUGGGGAGCGAACAGGAUUAGAUACCCUGGUAGUCCACGCCGUAAACGAUGAGUGCUAGGUGUUGGGGUCUAAUUAGAUCUCGGUGCUGAAGUUAACGCAUUAAGCACUCCACCUGGGGAGUACGAUCGCAAGAUUGAAACUCAAAUGAAUUGACGG